GACGAACGCUGGCGGCGUGCCUAAUACAUGCAAGUCGAACGCAGUGGGGACGGGUGAGUAACACGUGGGUAACCUCCCAUCAGAGGGGAUAACCCUUGGAAACAGGUGCUAAACCGAUACUGAUGGAUGGACCCGCGGUGCAUUAGCUAGUUGGUGAGGUAACGGCUCACCAAGGCCACAAUGCAUAGCGGACCAGAGAGGGUGAGCGGCCACACUGGGACUGGUAUACGGCACAGACUCCGACGGGAGGCAGAAGGAGGGAAUCUUCGGCAAGGGACGAAAGUCUGACCGAGCAACGCCGCUUGAGUGAAGAAGGUUUUCGGAUCGUAAGACUCUUUUGUUAGAGAAGCGGUAUCUAACCAGAAAGCCACGGAUAACUACGUGCCAGCCGCCACGGUAAUUC
rnacentral:rRNA from 1 species